UUCAUUUUCAUAAGCGGAGGAAAAGAAACUAACAAGGAUUCCCUUAGUAACGGCGAGUGAACCGGGAAGAGCUCAAAUUUGAAAUCUGGCUGUCUUCGAUAGUCCGAGUUGUAAUCUAUAGAAGCGUUUUCCGUGCUGAACUGUGUAUAAGUCCCUUGGAACAGGGUAUCAAAGAGGGUGACAAUCCCGUACUUUACACAAUCAUCAGUGCUCUGUGAUACGUUCUCUACGAGUCGAGUUGUUUGGGAAUGCAGCUCAAAAUGGGUGGUAAAUUCCAUCUAAAGCUAAAUAUUGGCGAGAGACCGAUAGCGAACAAGUACCGUGAGGGAAAGAUGAAAAGCACUUUGGAAAGAGAGUUAAACAGUACGUGAAAUUGUUAAAAGGGAAACGAUUGAAGUCAGUCGUGUUUAUUGGAUUCAGCCGGUCUUCGGUGUACUUCCUUUAAACGGGUCAACAUCAGUUUUGUCCGGUGGAUAAAGGCAGUAGGAAUGUGGCUCCCUCGGGAGUGUUAUAGCCUAUUGUCACAUACACUGGAGGAGACUGAGGACUGCAGCUCGCCUUUUGGCCGGGGUUCGCCCACGUUCGAGCUUAGGAUGUUGACAUAAUGGCUUUAAACGACCCGUCUUGAACCGGGCCA
rnacentral:rRNA from 1 species